GCCUGAAAACGUGUAAUAAUAUUUUAUUAGGUAUAGUUUCACUCAAUAAAUCGAACUGGUCUUUUCUCACAAUAUCUUCAUUAAUGGUCUACAAGAUACACCCCAUCAUCCUGACACCUACAAUAAGAAAUUUUAACGGUUUUGCAGACUUUUAUAAACAGAUUUGUGAAAAGGACUGGAGUAGUCUCUCGAAGGCAUUUGAAUCGGUCAUUUGAGAAACAGCACAUGUCAUAUUUUCGGCCAUUUUGAUUUUAUACCGAUAAUGCAAUAUUUAAGAGUAAAUACAUCGUUCCAUAUAGUAACAACACGAGCCAGUGACAUGAGCUCUUUCUCAAAGCAUUAUAAGUAGUGCUAUUUUUUGUUUUGUUGUUUGUUAUUGCCGUCAACAAGUGGUAGUGACUCUGAUAGUGCUCCGACUAUUUUAACAAAAAGAAGGGUAAAAUAAAGUUAUACAAGUGUGAAAUAAUAAAAAAUACUAGACUAAAGGGUGAAGAAUAUAUUAAUUAUAAAGGUGCUGUAGUUUCUGCUAAAGAACAGGGUGAAAACUGCGGAUGUAAGUUAAAGUGUUAUAACCGAUGUUCCGAAGGUGACCGUCAGGAGAUUCUUCAAAAAUUCAGGUUUUUGGCAACCAAGAAUGAGCAGGAUGCAUAUUUACAAGCGUUAAAGUUAAAAGGCCAAGGAAUAUAGGGCGAGCUAAACCGAAAUCUUACACAUUUAAAUACUUUUUAACAUACUCAUCUGGACGAAUCGUGGUGUGCAAAAAGGCUUUUAUUAACAUUCACGCAAUUACACCCCAAUUCCAGGAAAUAUAGUUUGCCAGAUUCAGGAUCAUAUCAGGAGCUUUCCUACGAAAAUUUCACAUUAUAGUAGCAAAGAAAGACAUUAUCUUGACAAGAAACUUAACGUGAAAAUUAUGUACAACUUAUUUAAAAUACAGAACCCGUCAACCAAAAUAAAAUAC